rnacentral:rRNA from 1 species
GACGAACGCUGGCGGCGUGCUUAACACAUGCAAGUCGAACGGAAAGGCCCUGCUUUUGUGGGGUGCUCGAGUGGCGAACGGGUGAGUAACACGUGAGUAACCUGCCCUUGACUUUGGGAUAACUUCAGGAAACUGGGGCUAAUACCGUAUAGGAGCUCCUGCUGCAUGGUGGGGGUUGGAAAGUUUCGGCGGUUGGGGAUGGACUCGCGGCUUAUCAGCUUGUUGGUGGGGUAGUGGCUUACCAAGGCUUUGACGGGUAGCCGGCCUGAGAGGGUGACCGGCCACAUUGGGACUGAGAUACGGCCCAGACUCCUACGGGAGGCAGCAGUGGGGAAUAUUGCACAAUGAGCGGAAGCCGGAUGCAGCGGCGCCGCGUGCGGGAAGACGGCCUUCGGGUUGUAAACCGCUUUCGCCUGUGACGAAGCGGGAGUGACGGUAAUGGGUGAAGAAGCACCGGCUAACUACGUG